rnacentral:rRNA from 1 species
GAUGAACGCUGGCGGCGUGCCUAAUACAUGCAAGUCGAGCGAACAGACGAGGAGCUUGCUCCUCUGACGUUAGCGGCGGACGGGUGAGUAACACGUGGAUAACCUACCUAUAAGACUGGGAUAACUUCGGGAAACCGGAGCUAAUACCGGAUAAUAUAUUGAACCGCAUGGUUCAAUAGUGAAAGACGGUUUUGCUGUCACUUAUAGAUGGAUCCGAGCCGCAUUAGCUAGUUGGUAAGGUAACGGCUUACCAAGGCAACGAUGCGUAGCCGACCUGAGAGGGUGAUCGGCCACACUGGAACUGAGACACGGUCCAGACUCCUACGGGAGGCAGCAGUGGGGAAUCUUCCGCAUUGGGCGAAAGCCUGACGGAGCAACGCCGCGUGAGUGAUGAAGGUCUUCGGAUCGUAAAACUCUGUUAUUAGGGAAGAACAAAUGUGUAAGUAACUAUGCACGUCUUGACGGUACCUAAUCAGAAAGCCACGGCUAACUACGUGUCAGCAGCCGCGGUAA